UAAAGGAAUGUGGAGCAUAUUUCUGUAUUGUUCUUAGGCUGUUUGCAACAGAUUCUAGAACCUUCCCUGGCAAGUAUGUGAAGCUCAACAGCCUGAAACUUCCUGGCCUUUUGAGAAGUUAGAAUGGUCACGUGACCAUCACCUCCCCCGCCCCCCCACCGCCUUCUGGAAACUCCCCUUCCUGAUAAACACUUCAGGGACCAGAGAGGGUCAACCAUCCCCACUGGGAGAAUGGACUCAUUUCAAUGGGAAAUACGGACUCAAUGAGAGAAGGAAUAUACUUUGUCCAGUUUCUUCUCCUCUGUAAGGCCAAGGCUGCUCAUUCCUACAAAUGCUUUUCUGCGUAUAUAAGGCUUCUUCUUCACGCAGACACAGAAUGGAGAGCAAAGCAGCUGACCAUCCUCUCUCCACGAUCAGCAAUUCCCCACGGCUGUGGGUCUUUCUCAGGACUCUCUGGCCCUGAAGCUAAGAAAGGGCAUUAAACGUCAUCUUUUUUCAGCCUGAGCGGAUUCUGGAUAUUCCCCUGUCCUCACCCAUCGAUGACGCUCUCCUAGAUCCAGCCUUUGCGACCCGCAAGAAGGUGACAUGCGGAAGCAACAUAUCCCGUUCCCGAAGAUGACCAAACUAUUUUCUGAAAGCCCUUUGGAGAACAGAUAGACACACACACACGGAAAACCGACCUGUCCUUCGAAACCGUAUCUGGACCGCAGACGCUCCCACUUACCCUGCAGCAUGCACCUGUAAGCAGACUCCGAGAUCGCAUAGAUGUGCGGUGGCAUCUCGUGGCGUUUCUUCCCUCGGUACAUCUCAAUAAUGUUCUCAGAGUAGAUUGGAAGAUUCUUGUAAGGAUUUAUGACUACACAGAAGAGUCCAGAGUACGUCUGGAAGAAAAACAAAAUCGUGUUAAAAAAUGAAAACCCAAAGCCCCUGAACACAUCAGACGGCCAGAAACCACACAGCGCCUGGAGCAGGGGCCUUUGAUGAUCUGAAAAGGUGGUUAGUAGAGAGAUUUGCAAAAAUGUUAAAACUUCUCUAAAUUUUUUGC